UUAACCUACUUAUCCUCCUCCAUCAACCUAAAAACGAGACCCAUAAUACAUUGGGGCCUUAAUUAAGUUUAUGGCCCAAUGGCCUUCUUACUUGUCUACUUAUUACAAAACACAGAGUUUAACUUAUUUCUCUGUCUCGACUCUUCUUCUUCUUCUCUUCUUUUUCUACGACUCCAUCGCCUUCUCUUCUUCACCAGCUUCUACAUCUUCUGAAUCUCUCUGUUCCUAAUCACCUCAGCCUCUUCUUCCUUCACUGUCUCUUGUUCCUUAUUGAGCAAAGGAUCAACUUCCAACACUCCCUCUUGAUCCUUUUGCUCAAUCCCCAAAAUCUGACCUAAGAAGUUGAUUCCCUUUGUUUCUGAAACUUCUUUGAUUUGGUUCUUAAUACUUGGUCCUAUGCCUCUCAGAAUAUCAGCAUAGCUCAAUGUAUUGCAAGUCACCGAUCCUUUCUGCAACAUCUACAAGACUCACGAGUAGCUUUCAGCUGAGGCAUAUGUCGGACCUCUAUCUCCCUCAUCCGCUUCAUGUUUUUCCUUGUGAGAAAAAAGAGUUUUGACAUCGCUGCAGAUAGUCUCCCUCACCUCAGUCUCCAUACUUGGUGAGAUGUUCUUCCUCUGGUUAGUAUCUUCUUUAGACAAUGGCUUGAGACUCUCAGCUAAGUUUUCGUCUGUUGAUUUUUCUUCAUCUUUCAGCAUUGUGUUAUGGUCCUCUGCUUUCAGGCUUAUCCCCUUGGUUCUUUCAA